rnacentral:rRNA from 1 species
AACGGGUGAGUAAUAUAUCGGAACGUACCCUGGAGUGGGGGAUAACGUAGCGAAAGUUACGCUAAUACCGCAUACGAUCUAAGGAUGAAAGUGGGGGAUCGCAAGACCUCAUGCUCCUGGAGCGGCCGAUAUCUGAUUAGCUAGUUGGUGGGGUAAAGGCCUACCAAGGCAUCGAUCAGUAGCUGGUCUGAGAGGACGACCAGCCACACUGGAACUGAGACACGGUCCAGACUCCUACGGGAGGCAGCAGUGGGGAAUUUUGGACAAUGGGCGAAAGCCUGAUCCAGCAAUGCCGCGUGAGUGAAGAAGGCCUUCGGGUUGUAAAGCUCUUUUGUCAGGGAAGAAACGGUGAGAGGCUAAUAUCCUGUGCUAAUGACGGUACGUGAAGAAUAAGCACCGGCUAACUACGUGCCAGCAGCCGCGGUAAUACGUAGGGUGCAAGCGUUAAUCGGAAUUACUGGGCGUAAAGCGUGCGCAGGCGGUUUUGUAAGUCUGUCGUGAAAUCCCCGGGCUCAACCUGGGAAUUGCGAUGGAGACUGCAAGGCUAGAAUCUGGCAGAGGGGGGUAGAAUUCCACGUGUAGCAGUGAAAUGCGUAGAGAUGUGGAGGAACACCGAUGGCGAAGGCAGCCC